UACGUAGGUGGCAAGUGUUGUCCGGAAUUAUUGGGCGUAAAGCGCGCGCAGGCGGUCCUUUAAGUCUGAUGUGAAAGCCCACGGCUCAACCGUGGAGGGUCAUUGGAAACUGGGGGACUUGAGUGCAGAAGAGGAGAGUGGAAUUCCACGUGUAGCGGUGAAAUGCGUAGAUAUCAGGAGGAACACCGGUGGCGAAGGCGCCUAUCUGGCCCAAUACUGACGCUGAGGCGCGAAAGCUAGGGGAGCAAACGGG
rnacentral:rRNA from 1 species